GUCUUGGUAGCUCAGCUGGAUAGAGCAAUCGCCUUCUAAGCGAUCGGUCUGGAGUUCGAAUCUCCACCAGGACA
rfam:Firmicutes bacterium CAG:321 genomic scaffold, scf124